AUUGAACGCUGGCGGCAGGCCUAACACAUGCAAGUCGAGCGGAUGAAGGGAGCUUGCUCCUGGAUUCAGCGGCGGACGGGUGAGUAAUGCCUAGGAAUCUGCCUGGUAGUGGGGGAUAACGUCCGGAAACGGGCGCUAAUACCGCAUACGUCCUGAGGGAGAAAGUGGGGGAUCUUCGGACCUCACGCUAUCAGAUGAGCCUAGGUCGGAUUAGCUAGUUGGUGGGGUAAAGGCCUACCAAGGCGACGAUCCGUAACUGGUCUGAGAGGAUGAUCAGUCACACUGGAACUGAGACACGGUCCAGACUCCUACGGGAGGCAGCAGUGGGGAAUAUUCGACAAUGGGCGAAAGCCUGAUCCAGCCAUGCCGCGUGUGUGAAGAAGGUCUUCGGAUUGUAAAGCACUUUAAGUUGGGAGGAAGGGCAGUAAGUUAAUGCCUUGCUGUUUUGACGUUACCAACAGAAUAAGCACCGGCUAACUUCGUG
rnacentral:rRNA from 1 species